rnacentral:rRNA from 1 species
UGGGGAAUUUUGGACAAUGGGGGCAACCCUGAUCCAGCCAUGCCGCGUGAGUGAAGAAGGCCUUCGGGUUGUAAAGCUCUUUCGGCGGGGACGAAACGGUCCGUGACAACACCACGGACUAAUGACAGUACUCGCAGAAGAAGCACCGGCUAACUACGUGCCAGCAGCCGCGGUAAUACGUAGGGUGCAGGCGUUAAUCGGAAUUACUGGGCGUAAAGCGUGCGCAGGCGGCUCCUUAAGUCAGAUGUGAAAUCCCCGGGCUUAACCUGGGAACUGCGUUUGAAACUGAGGGGCUAGAGUGUGGAAGAGGGGGGUGGAAUUCCAGGUGUAGCAGUGAAAUGCGUAGAGAUCUGGAGGAACACCGAUGGCGAAGGCAGCCCCCUGGGCUAACACUGACGCUGAGACGCGAAAGCGUGGGGAGCAAACAGGAUUAGAUACCCGAGUAGUCCCUGAGCGGGCUGGCAAGGCGCAU